AAGAAAACUUUAAUGUUAUAAUUAUGACUGCAUCAAAGUUACUAGAAGGCUUAGGUUUAAAAAUCAAGAUUCUACGAAUUAUAGGAAAACAAACUAAUCGCGCAAACCUCAAUACAAUUUAUCCUCUAACUUACUAUAGAGUCAAUGUUUAAUUACCGUUACUUGAUAGCAUACUUCUAGAUUUAGAGUUCAGAUUUUCUAAUGAAACCUUGAACUCUUUUGAAUUAAAUGUAGCAAUACCUAGAAAUUUAUUAAAUAAAACAAAAACAGAGUUAACAGCAUCCAUAACUAAUAUGCUGAGUUUUAUGGCUACCCAACAUAAAUAGUGUUGAUGAGAAUGUCUAAAUAAUGAAAGUUGUUUCAGAAUUUGAAUUUUGGGAGCUAAAAUGGAAAGACGCAAUUAAAAAGCGACAAGACCUAUCUGAAUGUGCGCUGGAAGCAUACAGGCAAUGUGAUGAUAAAUUACAAUGAAACAAAUGUAAUAUUUUGUUCACCUGAAGCCAUUGUAACAACUUAUUGAUCAAUUGUCAAUGAUUCUGCUUUUAAUCAGAAACUUGUUGCAAUUGCAGCUGACAAAACCCAUUGUGUGAAAAAAUGGGGAAGUUCAAGUACAUAAUCAGAUGUAUUUUGGUCUCAUGAUAAUAAACUUAGAACUGUGAUCACUUGUCCCUAAAAGGAUUCCAGAAUUGGUAAACGAUAAUUUUCAUUUACUCGAAUGGAUUAUUUAUUAACUAGUCGAGAAGGAAACAUCAUAAUAGCUGAGUAGGCGGAGCCAGCAUUUGAACCUCCAAUCCUGCUGCUGCAGCCAAUAAUUAUUCUGAACUUAUAACAGUGCUUUAACCAACUGAGCUACCAUUAUUGAUAAUCUUUGUAUGCAUAAUUUAGUUAUUAUAUCAUCUACACCAGAAAGAAGAAAUAUUAAAUACCAGAUCCAGGGAAAUUUUUCUACCAUGUUGUUCAAGAUAUUCUUUUGAAUAAUCAGCUAAAAGAACCAGUGGCGGAUUAAGACUUCUUGGGGCCCGGGGCUAUUUUUGUUUUUGGAGGCCUUUUUAUGAGCCAGAGCC